UACGUAGGGGCCAAGCGUUGUCCGGAUUUAUUGGGCGUAAAGAGCUCGUAGGCGGUUGGGUAAGUCGGGUGUGAAAACUCCAGGCUCAACUUGGAGAUGCCACCCGAUACUGCUCUGACUUGAGUUCGGUAGGGGAGUGGGGAAUUCCUGGUGUAGCGGUGAAAUGCGCAGAUAUCAGGAGGAACACCGGUGGCGAAGGCAAUCCCCUGGGCCUGCACUGACGCUCAUGCACGAAAGCGUGGGGAGCAAACAGG
rnacentral:rRNA from 1 species